CCUACGGGAGGCAGCAGUGAGGAAUAUUGGUCAAUGGGCGCGAGCCUGAACCAGCCAAGUCGCGUGAGGGAGUACUGCCCUAUGGGUUGUAAACCUCUUUUGUCGGGGAGCAAAGUCCGGCCGUUUCCGGCUUUUAUAGUACCCGAAUAAAAAGCAUCGGGUAACUCCGUUCCAGCAGCCGCGGUAAUACGGAGGAUGCGGACGUUAUCCGGAUUUAUUGGGUUUAAAGGGGGCGGAGGCGGGUUUUUAGGUAAGCGGUAAAAUCGUUGGGGUCAACCCCAGACAGCCGUUGAAACUGGGGAUCUUGAGUGCGCGAGAGGUAGGCGGAAUGCGUGGUGUAGCGGUGAAAUGCAUAGAUAUCACGCAGAACCCCGAUUGCGAAGGCAGCAUACCGGAGCACAACUGACGCUCAGGCACGAAAGUGUGGGUAUCGAACAGGAUUAGAUACCCGAGUAGUC
rnacentral:rRNA from 1 species